UGGACAAACUGACAAGGACGAAGUAAGGACUAUAUCAUGGAACUGCUGCCAGCUUUUGGAAUGAAGUUUGUGCCAAACUCUGCAUUGUUGCUGAUUUUCACAUGAUGGAUGUGGAAAUGCCUGGUUUUAUCAGAACUGACUUUGCUGAAGAUGCCUUGCAGGACUGCAGAAAGGGAAACCCAGCUCUCCUCCAGCUCAGCUCUGUCGCAUCUAGUGCAGCUGAAACUGUACUGAAGGAAGGACAUAUCCAACUCCCUCUCCUGGGAGGAGGCUGAUGAGUGACAGUGUCAUGAAAUGGUUGCUGGCAGACCUCUUUGCUUGUGAACGCUGUGGCUCUGGGCAGAUGGAUAUCACAUCUUGACUGCUUCUGAGAUGUUCCAAAGUCUUAAGUUCAAAAGCCCCCUGAGCCCAGGGCUUCGUGCUACACUGAAAUGUUCAAUCCUGCAUUUGAAUAAGCUGAAUCAAGCCAGCCAUACUGCUAAACAUAUGGGAUGUGUCUGGGGGGCAGAGGUGCUCUUGGCCUGUUUUGCGAAGAUCAAAAGCUGACAAGCUGUAUGGUUUUGGCUGUGCCUUCGGUUUGUUUUUUGCCCUGUCCGUCGUGCGGGAGCCCAGCAGAUGGAGCAGUGUUCCUGUGCAUGAGGAGCUGUGGGGCCGCAUCCGGAGCUGCGCUGUGCAGUUGAGCUGAUCUGCCCCAGUGCAUCUAUGAAGCACGGAAUAAAAGUGAUGGAACUGAGCUCUGCUGCUGCACAGGCACAGCCCUGCUAGGUUACGUGCUGAGGGCUCUGCCUGCCCUUAGCCACCUGCCGUGAAUCUCAGCUGGUGCACUCAGACAAUGUGGGAAAAAGAAGACUUGAGCCUCCUGUGUGUACCUUAUGCACAUUUCUCAUCAACUCCAGUGGGAGCUGUGCUGAGGAAGUGCAAAACAGGGCUGUGACUGCUAUCACUGGCUUUGAAAGAACUCCUGUUCUGGGCUCAGUAUACAGAAGCAAAUCCCAACAGCACAAAGAGGCAACAUUCCUGUAUGACACCCCCAUCAUCAAGCCCAGAUGCUCUGGUGGAGUGGAGAUGUCCCACAGAGGUCCAAUCUAAUGUGCUGAAGUGACAGAGAAUCUGCUGCAUCCUCAGCAGUGAUAACCAGCAGAUACACGAGCUGCCUGGCAGAGGAGCAGACAGAACUCUCAUGGGACUGACUGCAUUGUCAAUACUCCUUGAUGGGUCAACGAGGUUUGGGUUCUGGUUAACAUCCUGCACUCUUCAAGCAUCUCCUCUGGCUGCAGUAUCAGAAGGGGUAUCACCUUCAGUGCUAAUGUGCACGGAUAAGAGGAUGAGGAAAGCUACUUUGCGAGGAUUCUCCUUUUGCUGCUCUGCAAUGAAACAGAGAUUUAAAGAGACUGUCAUCAGGACAAACACAUGGGGCAAGUUCACAGCUGAAAGCAUCAGGAGAAGAAUGCUGGAAGAGGGGAAGAAGUAUGAACACAGAGCAGCCUAAAUAAUUCAUCUGAAACAGGACUUCUGCAGCCUGCCACAAGACAGACCAGCAGCAGCUGACAUCUACUAUGUGCAAUUUGGAUGCCAGCCCAUGGAGCAUCCAGAGCACAGGGCAGCAGGAGAGCUGGGUCUGCAAAGAUGAGCUUAGCUAUUCCCAGCGACAGCAGGUAAGAAUGCAAAUAGUGGACCUUAGUUUUUGUCCAAAAUAUUUCAGGUUUUCUGUUUCUUCAAGAAGAAUCUGCUACCUCAUUCUUUGAAAGUACCUUUGCUCAGAUCAAGAGACUAAGAAGCCUUCAAGAUCUGACCUUUACAAGUUAUGCCACUGGAUCUCCUGCUCUUUGAAAACAACAUACCACAAACUAGUUUCUUUUCUCCAGCAUUUGCUAAUCUUAAAAUACCAUAGAAAACUCAGCAUUGUUUACCACUGAUGUUACUCAUGGUUCUGGGAGGGUCAGUUUGCAAUAUCUCAUUCAAAACCAAUAUAAAAUCACAGUGUAAAAGACACAUCUCAUGCUUGCUGCUCUACUGAUCUGGCCCCAGAAAAGAAGAUUUGCAGAAGAUCUCAAAGAGGCACAAAUAGCAAAGGCAGCAUUUGCAGACAUGCACUUUUGCAAAACUGAUGGCACAUGAAUAUGGACUAAGGCCUCUAAUUUUUCAUACCCCUUUCCACAAGAAAAAAAACCAGCUGCAACAGCACCAGCCUACAGGUGGUAAAGGGACAUCUGCACUGCCUUGCAGUGACCUUGGGUGCUGCUCCAAUAAAGUGGCCGACAGCAAGCUCCAGAGACCUCGCUGACAUCUUCAAUAGAAAGUAGGGCACCCCAUCAGCAGCAUGCACAUGUGCACCAAACUGCUUUAGCCCUAAGCGCAGAUUCACUCUCCACAAACUCAUCACUGUUGGGCCUCUGCUGGUAGCAUGCAGGAGGUCAGAAAGCUCUGUGCACUUUAACCCAGGCUCUCUCUAUGAAAGUAACUUAGGGCUAUAUCUUAGAAUAUCCCAUCCCACUCUCUGGAGCUGUUUACUUGCAGUUCCAAAUCAACAUCUGAUACAAAAUAAAAGAACUAUAAAGUGUCUGAAGAAAUCGAGAUCAUGAAUGCUCUGUGACAGCUACAUUGAGAAGCAGUGCUGCUUCUUGGCAUCCGAGUGCUAGUUUGUCAACCUUUGCUAUUUAAGCAAUUCACAGCCAAUUUAAUUAAAAAUAUAACAGAUCUGAAAGCUGCUAAAGUCUUGCAGUGACUAUCAGUCAUUUGAUAAUGGUAUGAAAGAGCCAUCAGAAGGGAACUGUAAGCAAACUUCGUUGAGAUUGAAUAAUAGGGGCAUUACAGCUCCAGCCAUUAAUGUGUUUUUUAAAAAAACCUCACUGUCCACAUCAACCUAAAACUUGGCAUUUUUAUGUCAACAUACUCAUUUACAAUCAAAAUAUAUUUUAGAAAAGUACAGUACAUUUAAUGGUGACGAGCUGCCCAUUUUGCAUUCUGAAUGCUAGAACAGUCUCUGCUGUGCUCACUUCAUCAUUUAGUUGAUUUAAUACAAAAUUUCUUUUUCUUCCCUUUCCUACUUGUUGCUAACAUGAAUACCCCAUAUUCAUUAGUAAUCAAAUACAAUAGUAAUUCUAACAGUGUUGCACAGCUGAACUCUUUUUCUUUUUAUUACCAACACCCUCAUGUUUAAAUUAUUUCCUUUAAAUAGUUGUCUCUUGUUAUUCUAGUUCAGCUCACAGGGGAAGUUCUGACUGUGACAGCUUAGGUGAAAGAUGCCAAAUUAAAUAAGUGAACAAACCCAGAAUCAACAGAUACUGGUUUCAUCAUUAGAAUAAAAUCACAUUCAGCCAUAUCCACAAGAGUUUGGGGUUGCUGCCAGGGAAUACUGCAGGGAGAGAAUCAUAUGUGGUCCUCAGCUCAAACCACGUUCAAGUUCUUCUGACAGCUUAACACUUACACAUCGAUUAACUCAACUUCUGGGUACCAGACAAGUGCAUUCACAAGUGCAGAUGUGAAAAGGAAGCCUGCAUGACCAUAAGCUGCGAUAGAUGGACUGCAAAGCUCUCCUGGCAAGGACUCAUACUUUCAAAUUAGCCAAAAACAUCUUUGAAAGAAAAGGGAAGAAAUAAAUCCCUGGAGGCUUCUUUCGGUCACAUAGCUCCGACAUCAGAGAUUUGUCACAACGAUACUGUGUCACACACAAAUGUAUAUAUAAACAUACUGCAAGACAAACAUAGAUAUAUGAAAAACAAGAGCUAAUAAAUCUUGUUUUGGAGGUUAACCCCAUGCAUAAAGUUCCUAAUCUGUUUUGAAAUUAUUUUUAUACAUCUAAAAGGGAAAAUUUUCUGUGAUAAGAAGUAGUCCAAAUAUUCUCUCUAUAGAAGCAUUGCAAAAUUACAGUAUUUAUAUAUAGUAGCAGAUGCUGCUGUACAAUAUAAUACAACUUUAUAUCAUAUACUGCCUUUCAUUCCAAAUGCAUUCCCAAGCACCGAGCAGAAUUAAGUACAAGGAAGCAGUGGAUGCUGGCAGUACACAAUAUAAAUUAUAGAAACCAGUGGUGUAAAGACACUGUAUGAUGAAUAAAUUAAGGCACUGAGCCAUAAGGCCAAUAAAAGAGUGAGAAAAAAUUAAGAGGCAUAUGCAGAUGAGAAAACCUACUUUAAAAAAAGACAAAAGUUGAAGAGAUGGAGAGUUGAUGAGGCAGAAACUUACACAGAGGCUGCUCCAGAUGGUAAAAACAGCAGCAAAGGAAGCAAAGGCCACCAAGAGUGGCACAAGUAUGUGCAAAGCAACACAAGGUGGCUGCAGAGUCUGGGGAAGAAAAAUGGGAAAAAAAGAAAAAAAAAGAAAAAAAACAAAAAAGGAGAUGUCUGCAAUGCUGACUGUAGAAAUAAGGAGGGAUCCUGAAAAUCUAAAAAUCAGGAUCAAAAUAUUUGAAGUACAUGCAAAGGCACCAAAGACUGUGGCUGUAAAAGCAUCCUUCAGCUGUAGUGCUUGAGGGAGCUUCCUGCCCUGCUGGCUGAUUUGAAAAUAUGAAGUUUGGAAGGGAACACAUUCCCACCUUGUCUGACAAAUGCUGAUUCAGAGUUAGGGUACAGACACCUAUAUGAACCCAAACGAGCGCACAGGCACACAAGGAGAUGCUUGUCUGUAUCACAAAUAUGGUAUCAAAACCAUUUGCCCAAGUACAUGGUUGACCUGACAUCCACAUGACACAUUAUACAUUAUAUUCUCCUUUUGGGCUACACAUAUUUUAUGUACGUGAUGCCCUGCUACCCAAAUAGUUUUGAGCACAGACUGAAAUGAUGCAACAACAGCACCAUAUUGUUUAAUAUUUUUGAAAAGUCAAACAUGACUGUGCUACGCUACACUGUUUUAAAAAUACUAAUAAACAAACAUUAAACAAACUCCUAUUUAGCUCUCAGGCCUGAAGCUACAGUACACAAACAGCAAGUUGGCAUAGAUGUGUUGGCCAGAGUUUACUCGGCUCUGAACUAAGUGGCAAAAGUGAUGAUAGUGUCAUCUGAAGUCACCAAGCAUACAUAUUUGUGGAUCCCUUUCACUCUGACUGAGUUGUCAGUGUGAGAACAGUGCUGAAAAUAAACAUCUCUCUGUCGACCUCCGCCGACAAGCCUGGGCAACCUUUAGGCUUUCAGACUAGCAAGGUCUAGUGCUCACACGUAGCUUCUGCCGUGGCAUUUUCAAGCAGAGAAUGACAGCAGUGACAUUUAAAUCUUGUUCAUCUCCUUUCCAUAUCCAGCUUUAUCUCCUUGCUCAUCAUCUGUAGUCUCUGCCAGCCUAGCCCUAAGACAACCCCACUAUAUAAAACCAGGAUAUAGUCACGAUGCUUAUACAACAUGAUCUUACACACCUCAGAAGACUAAAAUACAUAAAUGCUGUGUUUAACAUCCUGCAGAUAGAUCCAAUAAUACCAUAAACGAAAAGGAAUUAAAAAGACUGUCUAGGAAUAAGGUUAAAUAAAGCAACUGCUUCUAAGAUCAAGACCUAAACCACUGAACUCCCACUACGUGGAAUCUGUCACUCUGGCAUAUCUAGACACACGGUGUGCAGAAAUGAGCUCAAUUCUUAUGCAAAAACCUGGCAAAUAACCUACUGGUAAUUUAAAAGCCCUCAAGUGGGCACCUAGGAAAAGCCUGAGUUACUUACUGAAUUAGUAGUGGGACUCUGUAUGGUGGCUAAACAUCCAUCUCUCUGCUAUCAGCUGCAGAAGGCAGUAAACAUAAACUAUCGGGUGCUCACAAGCAAAACAGCACAGAAAGAAUUGGAGGCAGUACAGAUCCACUUUUCCAACAGCCCAUUUUAACUUUUGGACUCAAACGUUUCAUUUUAACAACUUUGGCUUUAUCAUCUGUUUGUGGCCAACUCAGAUAACAAGUAAAUAACUCAAAUUUUAGGUCAACUACUUAUUUUACGCUCAGUUGUGAGGAUGGUGUGUCAUUCUAAAGUCCUUGUGAUACACAAGUGCUAUAUGAUGUAUUCAUACCAAUGUGACAGUCUAGAAUACGAAAUGCAAUAGGAAUGGAUGCACAACAAAUCAAACAAAUAUUCAGCUGCGAGGCUGAAGGCAGGACUGUGCUGGUUUAUAUAAAUUGCCUUUGGAAAAAUUUACAUUAUUUACCUGUGAUCUAACUUGGCAUUUAAGUAAAUUUCAGUUAAAUACUGACACAUUCAGAGAUACCACUCAUUUGUUUUGCUUCUACUUUUCAAAUAAAAUUCUCUGGAGUGGAUCAUUGGAUUGAUUAUUUAAUGGGCUAUUGACUAUUCUAGGGCUAUAAGGAGCAUGCAAAUGUCAUGCAUAUCUGAUACCUGUGGUAUAAACACAGGAAAAUCCCACAGCCAGAAGAUCGUAUGGCUUCGCAAUUAAUUCAGGAUACUGUCAGUCACAAUCCUUUGCUUGGAAUCUCAUGCUUGAGAUGCUGUCUGUGAUCCCCAGACUGAACAGGAGCUUGGGCUGUCAGAGCAGUCCAGAUAUGAACCCUUUGAAAAGGAUUAGGUCUUCCUCUGAGUGAAGGGCAAGAAUGCAGUACAGUUCCUUACAAAACUAAGUAGUCUCUAUAGAAAACUACAGGAAAAGCAUAGUAUCUAUCAAAUUUAGCAGCAAGAUACAAGUGACAAGGGCUAGGCGCAUUCAUAACUUGGAAGAAGUCCACAAAUAAUGCAUUUUAGGUAACCUAGCUACAUUUAUUCAAUCUGAUUGAGCAGAAAAAAAGCAUUAUUAAAAGAAUUAAUGCAACCCAUCCUGAGAUUUAUUUGUAUGGAACCUGCUGGUAGAUGAGAUCAUGUAAGAAUUGAUUUUUCUGCCUUACUGAAAAAAA